AUUGAACGCUGGCGGCAGGCCUAACACAUGCAAGUCGAGCGGAUGAAGGGAGCUUGCUCCUGGAUUCAGCGGCGGACGGGUGAGUAAUGCCUAGGAAUCUGCCUGGUAGUGGGGGAUAACGUCCGGAAACGGGCGCUAAUACCGCAUACGUCCUGAGGGAGCAAGUGGGGGAUCUUCGGACCUCACGCUAUCAGAUGAGCCUAGGUCGGAUUAGCUAGUUGGUGGGGUAAAGGCCUACCAAGGCGACGAUCCGUAACUGGUCUGAGAGGAUGAUCAGUCACACUGGAACUGAGACACGGUCCAGACUCCUACGGGAGGCAGCAGUGGGGAAUAUUGGACAAUGGGCGAAAGCCUGAUCCAGCCAUGCCGAGUGUGUGAAGAAGGUCUUCGGAUUGUAAAGCACUUUAAGUUGGGAGGAAGGGCAGUAAGUUAAUACCUUGCUGUUUUGACGUUACCAACAGAAUAAGCACCGGCUAACUUCGUG
rnacentral:rRNA from 1 species